rnacentral:lncRNA from 1 species
AUUCAUGGAUUAGGUUUAAAAUAUGAAUUUGGAGUUAAAUAGUAGUAGUAUACUUUUAAAUGUUGAACUUCGAAUUGACUUAGGAGAAAACUGCAAAUUCUACACUGUCAUUUUUUGAAAACUAUCAGAUUUAGCGUUAGGUGCUAUGCUUUGUUUGUAUUGCCGCAGUUUGUAUGCAGUAGAUGCUCAGAUUAGUGUAGGAGGGGUUUACGCUCAUGCUGGGAUACCGAAUUUAUUUUACAGUAGUGUGUAAACUGUUUCGGACUGUCGGGUGUCGUCGCGGUUGACGGUGGACCCAGAUUUCUGUAUUUGCAUCAGAUUGUGCCAAGGGCACGUGAGUUUUGGUUGUU